AGGCAGCAAAGCCGCCUUCUGUUUUGUGAGCAGAGUCGCUGCUGAGGUCACCUGCCCUGAAAGGGGGAUGGAGCAUCAAGCUGUCCCCAGUAAUUACAGCCGGAGUCAGGGGCAGAAGGCGCACUCGGGAACCCCCUGUGUCACAUUCCUGGUGCUUCCGCACGUUCAUGCACAGAGACGUCAAAGACGCCUGCAUCCCACACAACUAAAGCCGGCGUCGGUGCCCAGAGGAAACGUGAUGUCUUUGCUGAAGAUGAAGAUUCCCCUACAGCCCUGUUUGCUCCAAACACAGCUCUUCCUGGCCAAGACUAGGUCCAUCAUUUUCUGAAUGGAGCAGCUAAAAUACUGUCUCCACGGACUGUGGACUCAGCAGCCAGACAGCUACUAAGAAACCCCAGGUUUUAGGGGGAGAAAGAACUAGCAUAUCUGGAUUCUAAAUCAGAAAUUCAGAGCCGAAGCCAAAGCAACUGAGUUUAGAAUCUGCUCGAUGGGAACUCUGCCCCCAAGAGGAGGAGAUUCUGCGAGGACCCAUCUGUCCGUCGGGAGAGUGCUUUCCAGUCUUUGUCAUAGAGACGCAGGCAGUGACCUCCUUGCUGCUUCUGGCUUUGCUGUUAUUUUCAGAUUUUUUAUUUGGAAGCGGACCCUCGUCUUCCAGCUCAUCUCCGUCUGCUCGCCCCUCUCUGUGUUGCUUUAGUGCAGGAAGAAUGGGCAGCCUCGACUCUGAGAAUGAGGGGAAGGCUUCCUGUUCAUUCCUUGGGGCCUAAGAUGCACAGCAACCUGGGGAUGGGGCCGCACGUCGUGGCGGCCCUGCUUCUGGUCUCAAAGCGGGGUGCCCCAUGUCCCCUCUUGAGCUCCGUGCUCCCGUUCAAGGGUUCCUGGCGAGGAGAAGAACCAAGAGGAGAGAAAGCGGAGCACAUGAGACUCAGAAGGAUGCAGCAACAGGCCGACCUCACAUGCUCGGCGUCCAUCAGCCCCGGGCAUACACUCCUGGAAGACACGCUUCCUCCCGGCCGAAACAGGUGGAUUGGAGGGUGGGGCUCCAAGCCCAAGGUCGAGGAGACUGAGCCCCGAGCAGGCACCGCCCCUCUGCUCCCACGGUGCGUGGGAGGCCCAGAAAGCUGGGAACAAGCAUCGUGGCAAAGAGCUUCUUAA
rnacentral:lncRNA from 1 species